UGGGGAAUAUUGGACAAUGGGCGAAAGCCUGAUCCAGCCAUGCCGCGUGUGUGAAGAAGGUCUUCGGAUUGUAAAGCACUUUAAGUUGGGAGGAAGGGCAGUAAGCGAAUACCUUGCUGUUUUGACGUUACCGACAGAAUAAGCACCGGCUAACUCUGUGCCAGCAGCCGCGGUAAUACAGAGGGUGCAAGCGUUAAUCGGAAUUACUGGGCGUAAAGCGCGCGUAGGUGGUUCGUUAAGUUGAAUGUGAAAGCCCCGGGCUCAACCUGGGAACUGCAUCCAAAACUGGCGAGCUAGAGUAGGGCAGAGGGUGGUGGAAUUUCCUGUGUAGCGGUGACAUGCGUAGAUAUAGGAAGGAACACCAGUGGCGAAGGCGACCACCUGGGCUCAUACUGACACUGAGGUGCGAAAGCGUGGGGAGCAAACAGG
rnacentral:rRNA from 1 species